GAACGCUAGCGGCGUGCUUAACACAUGCAAGUCGAACGGAAAGGCCCUGCUUGCAGGGUACUCGAGUGGCGAACGGGUGAGUAACACGUGGGUGAUCUGCCCUGCACUUCGGGAUAAGCUUGGGAAACUGGGUCUAAUACCGGAUAGGAGCCAUCUUUAGUGUGGUGGUUGGAAAGUUUUUUCGGUGUAGGAUGAGCUCGCGGCCUAUCAGCUUGUUGGUGGGGUAAUGGCCUACCAAGGCGGCGACGGGUAGCCGGCCUGAGAGGGUGUACGGCCACAUUGGGACUGAGAURCGGCCCAGACUCCUACGGGAGGCAGCAGUGGGGAAUAUUGCACAAUGGGCGCAAGCCUGAUGCAGCGACGCCGCGUGGGGGAUGAAGGCCUUCGGGUUGUAAACUCCUUUCGCUAGGGACGAAGCUUUUUUGUGACGGUACCUAGAUAAGAAGCACCGGCUAACUACGUGCCAGCAGCCGCGGUAAUACGUAGGGUGCGAGCGUUGUCCGGAAUUACUGGGCGUAAAGGGCUCGUAGGUGGUUUGUCGCGUCGUCUGUGAAAUUCUGGGGCUUAACUCCGGGCGUGCAGGCGAUACGGGCAUAACUUGAGUGCUGUAGGGGUAACUGGAAUUCCUGGUGUAGCGGUGAAAUGCGCAGAUAUCAGGAGGAACACCGAUGGCGAAGGCAGGUUACUGGGCAGUUACUGACGCUGAGGAGCGAAAGCAUGGGUAGCAAACAGGAUUAGAUACCCUGGUAGUCCAUGCCGUAAACGGUGGGCGCUAGGUGUAGGGACCUUUUGGGGUUUCUGUGCCGUAGCUAACGCAUUAAGCGCCCCGCCUGGGGAGUACGGCCGCAAGGCUA
rnacentral:rRNA from 1 species